AGAAAAGCAUUCCUUAAUAAUUUUAAACGAACGGUUCCAUGCCUCUGGGACAGAACUCGACAACAUGAAACAUAGCGCCAAGUAGUUCGUCAAACACAGCAUCGCUGAGGGCACCGAAAGAUAAGAAGCCAGAAGUCAAAACACCCACCCAAAUACAAGAAGAAAUGCAAUUCAAUUCUGCUAGGAAGGCAGAAGAAAAGAAAAACCUAUGAUCCCCAGGGCAGAUAACAGAAGCAUGUUACCUUUAGUGAGACUGAAAAGGACAAUGCUGGGUGGCCUAACAUCACUUCAGCGACAACAGGAAACACUCUGGAGGGGGUAAGCCAAGGAAAAACAGAGAGGCUCCCACAACCUGGGCAAAAGCUAGGGUAGGAGUGACCUAGCCUGACCCAAAGGAGGUAGUACGAGUCCGACCCUCGAACCACGAACACCUUCCUCCUUUCGCCCAUAGAGCUAAUGUCGCCUUAGUCACGUCUACCACAAAA